UUGACAGUAUAGGCAGAUGCUUUCAGCAAAGGAACCAGGAUGUUAAAAGAGCUUUAGCGUGGUUAUUGUUUUGCCAGGCAAAUCCAUGUACUUGUCAUCAAGGUGUUCAGGAGUAUUUCAGCCUCGUCGUACAAGCUGAAUACAAGAGCUGUAAUCAAGAGUUACAUCAUUUGGUGAGACAAGACCUUGAGGAAUACAGCAAAGGGAAAUGUGCAUAAUUAGAACAGUUCAGUUACAAGGGAAAAGGGGCUUUGAUAGUGUUAGAAAUGCAGCUGAAACAUGCAGCCUCCAUUGCCCUGUCAUCAGGCAUUAGAUGGUAGAUGUCAAGGGGCCAGGGGGAUCUCAGGAUCCAGCGAAGGAGUGUGGGGUUCCCUCUUUGAACCUUUCCAACCCUCAGAAAAACACCUAAGGUGACCAUCUGCUGAGCCACAAGGUCUCCUUCUCCACUGGGGGACAAACACCAAACCAGAGAUUAAAACAAGAGUCACUAACUAAAAAAAAAAAAGAAUGUAAAAAGCAGUUUGUUUUGAUAGUCUUUCUCAGAAAAGAAUGCUGAGAAAUAGAAACAUGACCAAUUCCUCUGCCACCUCAAAAUUCCUGUAAAGGAAGAGGCUGACAUGAAGAGGGGCCAGACGUGGUGACAGGGAACACGUCGUAGGUCGUCAAACGCCUUGGGGCCAAUGCGCUUCCCAUGGUGAUUUCCACACCGACAAAGUUGCCAAAAUCCUUCCUAGAAAUUUCACUUGGGGGAAUAAAAAAAAAAACAACUCUAGUGACACCCGUUCUAAGUAUGCAACAUCCAGCCUGCUUUAUUUAGAUUUUUCACAAAAUAUUUAUCACUGCCAUAGUGAUAUCUAUCCUAAAAAAAGAGACAAUGUUUCAAAGCAAUUUGACCUCCUCUAGACCCUAUCCAGAGACAUCUCUAUUCUUACACAUGUAUUAUUGGCAAAUGUUUUGAAUUUUUGAGUUUGUAGAGGAAAAUGUUCAACAUCUCAGGGAUUCUUGAGCCAUGGGAGACUGCUUUCCACCCACCACUGAGUAGGUUACCAGACAAUACUUAAUGUUUAGGUAUCAAAUUUGUUGAAACUAUGCCUGGGUGUGCACUGAAUUUAUUACAUUGCUCCUCUUUGCUUUUUCAUUUUUCUAUUUAUUAUAAGGCAAAGCUUUCUGGCGAGUGGGGCACACCACUCAGGGAGCACUGGAGGAAGGAUUUCAUCACUGAUGCUCUUCCAAGACAUCAACACCAACUGGCAUCACUGGCAUUCAUCUUUUGGGUGAGACUGUGACUGGAAUCCUCUCUCUCAAAGCAAACACUAGAGGUGCUCGGUGUAAAUGUCAUGUUCCUGGCUGGAGUCUUUGCUGGGCCCAAAGGCAAAGUGUAAUAUCAAAUGCCUGCUAUAAUUUUCAGUCUGGGACAUCUCUUGACCCGUGUGCACAGAUGAUGAACAAUUUCUCCUUUCUGGGUUGUCUUCUUUGCCUCUUGGUGCAGAAGUUGUCCUGAAAACACGCCAAGAACCACAGUCAUAGUGCUCUGGAACUGGGCUGAGAACAACAUGCUCAAUGAAACAUGUCAAGCUAUGUUAUAUUGUAGG